rnacentral:rRNA from 1 species
AUACGUAGGGUGCGAGCGUUGUCCGGAAUUACUGGGCGUAAAGAGCUCGUAGGUGGUUUGUCGCGUCGUCUGUGAAAUUCCGGGGCUUAACUCCGGGCGUGCAGGCGAUACGGGAAUAACUUGAGUACUGUAGGGGAGACUGGAAUUCCUGGUGUAGCGGUGAAAUGCGCAGAUAUCAGGAGGAACACCGGUGGCGAAGGCGGGUCUCUGGGCAGUAACUGACGCUGAGGAGCGAAAGCAUGGGUAGCGAACAGGAUUAGAUACCCUGGUAGUCCAUGCCGUAAACGGUGGGCGCUAGGUGUAGGGGUCUUCCACGACUUCUGUGCCGUAGCUAACGCAUUAAGCGCCCCGCCUGGGGAGUACGGCCGCAAGGCUAAAACUCAAAUGAAUUGACGGGG